AUUGAACGCUGGCGGCAUGCCUUACACAUGCAAGUCGAACGGCAGCACGGGAGCAAUCCUGGUGGCGAGUGGCGAACGGGUGAGUAAUACAUCGGAACGUGCCCAGUAGUGGGGGAUAGCCCGGCGAAAGCCGGAUUAAUACCGCAUACGACCUACGGGUGAAAGCGGGGGACCGCAAGGCCUCGCGCUAUUGGAGCGGCCGAUGUCAGAUUAGCUAGUUGGUGGGGUAAAAGCCUACCAAGGCGACGAUCUGUAGCUGGUCUGAGAGGACGACCAGCCACACUGGGACUGAGACACGGCCCAGACUCCUACGGGAGGCAGCAGUGGGGAAUUUUGGACAAUGGGCGCAAGCCUGAUCCAGCCAUGCCGCGUGCGGGAAGAAGGCCUUCGGGUUGUAAACCGCUUUUGUCAGGGAAGAAACGCUUCGAGAUAAUACCUUGGAGUAAUGACGGUACCUGAAGAAUAAGCACCGGCUAACUACGUGCCAGCCGCCGCAGUAAUAC
rnacentral:rRNA from 1 species